UGAUAAAUGGAUUAUUCACUAGUGUGAAUGUAUUACUUUGCAAAGGACACCCACUGUACAAUAGAUUUAAACAAAUAAUGAAAUUUGUUUUACGAUUUUGACGUCCAAAAUGGCUAAAUUGUCUAAUUUGAAGCACGUUUGAUAAAGUAUUGUAGUUUAAUAUAUAUUAAUAGGGAGGCUAAUUUUAACUAGAGUCUUCCGUUAUUUACAUAAGAUAAAACUAUAACCAUCAAAAAUAUUGACCUGUUUUUGAGUGCUUCCAAUCUUGAACAUCUUUACGCUGGGAAUACAAUUUGAGGGUGAGUAGUGCAAAAUAUUUUCCAAUUAAUUUGUUCAAUUUAUUCUCAAAGACGUUGGUGUGCGGACCCAGCAAUCAUUUACCAUGCAGUUCGUUAGUGGCGCGUAAACCGAACAAACGUAGCUAGGUAGCAGUAGCGACCAAUCAACUAAUUUUUCGAAAUGGAUUCAGAUGUACCUUUUCAAAUACAAGAAGAUUAAGUACCUAACAAUGUAUAAACGAGAGAAGCCAGUAAACAAAGCACAAGAAGCUUAAUAUUUGAUACCAAGCUAUUAAUUUCUGUAUAUGCACUAAGAUGUACCAUUCCAGGUACUAGAAGAAUAAACCAGAGUAGGAGUGAUACUAUCAUCACCACAAAUUUCAA